CAAAUAUCUGCCCUAUCAACUUCCGAUGGUAGGAUAGUGGCCUACCAUGGUUUUUACGGGUAACGGGGAAUAAGGGUUCGAUUCCGGAGAGGGAGCCUGAGAAACGGCUACCACAUCCAAGGAAGGCAGCAGGCGCGCAAAUUACCCAAUCCCAAUUCGGGGAGGUAGUGACAAUAAAUAACAAUAUAGGGCUCUUUUGGGUCUUAUAAUUGGAAUGAGUUACAAUUUAAAUCACUUAACGAGGAACAAUUGGAGGGCAAAGUCCUGGUGCCAGCAGCCGCGGUAAAUUCCAGCUCCCAAUAGCGUAUAUUAAAGUUGUUGCAGUUAAAAAAGCUCGUAGUUGAAAUUUUGGGCCUUGGACGGGCGGGU
rnacentral:rRNA from 1 species